rnacentral:rRNA from 1 species
UUUUGGAGGGCAAGUCUGGUGCCAGCAGCCGCGGUAAUUCCAGCUCCAAUAGCGUAUAUUAAAGUUGCUGCAGUUAAAAAGCUCGUAGUUGAAUUUCGGGACCAUCAUGUCGGUCGUGCCUCGGUACGUACUGGCAUUGUUGGUUUCUCCCUUCUGACGAACCAUGAUGUCAUUUAUUUGGUGUUGUGGGAAUCAGACGGAGCU